rnacentral:tRNA from 2 species
GGAGAGGUGGCAGAGUGGCCGAUUGUGCCUGACUCGAAAUCAGGUGUACCGCAAGGUACCGGGGGUUCGAAUCCCUCCCUCUCCGCCA